rnacentral:rRNA from 1 species
AACGAACGCUGGCGGCGUGCCUAACACAUGCAAGUUGAACGGAGUUAGCUUAUAGCACUUAGCUCAUAGCUGAUAGAAAGAAAGAAAGAAAGCAGAAGAAGCUAUGAACUGUGAGCUAUGAGCUAUGAGCUAACUUAGUAGCGGACGGGUGGGUAACACGUAGGUAACCUACCUUUAGGAGGGGGACAACCCCGAGAAAUCGGGGCUAAUACCGCAUAAGACCACGGGCUGGGAAGCCAGUGGGAAAAGUGGUAACACGCCUAGAGAUGGGCCUGCGACCUAUCAGGUAGUUGGUGAGGUAACGGCUCACCAAGCCAAAGACGGGUAGCCGGACUGAGAGGUUGAACGGCCACACUGGAACUGAGAUACGGUCCAGACUCCUACGGGAGGCAGCAGUGGGGAAUCUUGCGCAAUGGGGGAAACCCUGACGCAGCGACGCCGCGUGGAGGAUGAAGGUCUUCGGGUUGUAAACUCCUUUUGUAGGGGAAAAUGG